UAACUGGUUAAAAGAUCGUACUACACACAAAUAAUUGCAAAGUCCUUACAUCAGGUUUAUAGCAGUGAUGGAAUAGACUGCUGGCUUGUAAAGAAUCUCUGACUUCCAAAAGAUUGGAAGGUCCUCAGUCCAUAGUUCAAAAUGCUCCUUUUUCGUUGUAAAUCCACAGUCCAGAGACUCAAGGCAAGAAAGAGGAAAAAUGGAGAUAUCUCAGGGGUCUUUUAUAGCCUUUGUCAUGUGCCUGGAAAUUUACUGUCUCAAACAAAGCUCGCAGCCAAUGUUCCCUCUAAUUUUUGACAGGCUGUGUGCACAAAAAAUUUCUUCUGUGCAAAUUGUUCUGCUUCUGUGCAGAUUUUUGUGUGUGCGGUGUUUCGCUGUGUGUGUGGGGUUUAGGAUCUGUGUGCGCGCACACACAUGCACAGCUUAGAGGGAACAGUGCUCACAGCCCAGGUACAUGGAAAAUUGCUGGCUCAAGAUGGAGUCCAGGGUCACAUGAGCAUAUCACAUGUCUUGAUGUCUCACAGGGAGUAGCUAUUGCCAAUAUUCUUGCUGAGGCAUCCACAGGAAAAGGUACCUGGGAAGAAUGAGUUUCUUCUAUCAAUACAUAGCUGUCUGGCCUUAAUGUAAAUUUUACCCAGCGGUUGUUACCCGGGAAUUAGGGCUGUCAAGCAAUUAAAAAAAAUAAUCGCGUGACUAAUAGCACUGUUAAACAAUAAUACAAAAAUAUUUAAAUAAAUGGUAUUCUAUGUUUUCUACAUUUUCAAAUAUAUUGAUUUCAAUUACAACAGAAUACAGUUACAGAAUACAAAGUGUACAGUGCUCACUUUACAUUUAUUUUGUAUUAUAAAUAUUUGCACUCUAAAAAACAAAAUAAAUAGUAUUUUUCAAUUCAUCUAAUACAAGUACUGUAGUGCAAUCUCUUUAUCAUGAAAGUUGAACUUACAAAUAUAGAAUUAUGUACAAAAAAUAACUACAUUCAGCUUGGAAGCAGGUGGCUCCUCCUCCUCCUCCACCUUUGGGGGUCUGCUCCUCAACUCCUGUAUCCUGUACAGCAUGCUGGUUCUUCACGUUGGUGGACGAGGGACCUGGAUGGGGGAUGGGGCACUGUUCACUGGCCAAGGGGGCCAGCAACCAGUCUCCUCCCCACAGAGCAGCCAGUUCUCCUUCCUCCUCUGGUGCCGCUGUAGCCAUCUGUAAUUGGCUAGCAUUCUUUGUCUCCAUGUGCAUCCUGUGAAUUAAACCGCCAUGUUCCUGAUGCAAUGUAGAUAAGCCACCUCCUUCGGAGCUCUCUCUUAUGUGCUUUCUGAGGGACUCCAGCAAAACCACCUCUCACACCGGGUGGUUCCCCUUGCCUAAAUUUCUUCAUCAGGCACAUGCAGGCUGCAUUCACAGCAAGUCAAGACCAGGACCCAGGUAGAGGCCUCCAGGGUUAGGAUGCCUGUGUGGCCUGGGCCCCCACAAGUGCAGGCAGAGGAAGAGUCAGCAAUGGUGUUGGCAAUGUGCUAUUUUCCUCCCGUUGCAGGUUUUUUCCUUGUAGAGUACCUGAAAGUUAAGGAGGGGAUGGGGGAACCCUAUCUCUGUGCCUUCUUCUGCUGGUGAACUCAGCUGGCUAACUCCAUUAGUCUCUCAGCUGCCUCUGUCUCACCAGCUAUAUGUCGCAAUUAAAUAUGGGAGAUAGGAUCAAUUUGUCUGUAGUAAAAAUCUACAAACAGAACUGACUGUUAGGCCAGGCCUCUUGCAUUUGGGUGUGACCCUGUUGUAAUAAGUAGGAUUGCAUGAUGGGUUUGCCUGUAGACAGUGGUGGUGGAGCUGGGCUCAGUGGCCCAGGGGGUCCCUUGUAGUCCUGUGUCUUUAUCUCCCUAAAUCUCAUGUUCCAGCACUUUAGGCAGUCACUUGUAGGGGUCAGGAAGGAAACAUUUUCCUCCUGAUGUAUUUGGGGUGGAGGGGGGGAGUUGUAUCUCCUUCCUCUGAAGCAUCAAAGAUGGCCACAGGUUGAGAUGGGACAUCAGGCAGAGUUGAUUGGUGCUCUGAGACGGUACAGAGAAUUCACUUUUUUCUCAUGCUUGGCUGGCUGGUUCUUGCUCAUUGCCAUUUUUGGGAUCUGUAAGGAAUUUUACCCCAGGUCAGAUUGACAGUGACCCUGGCAUGUUUUCACCUUCCUAUGCAGCAUGAGGCAUGGCUCAUUUGCUAGGAUCAUCUGAGCAUCUCGGUUCCCUGCCACUGCCUCAGGAACUGGAGCACCUCGGUCCCUCCUUUUCAGUGUCUGUGGCACACAAUAGUUUUGUCUCCUGUGGGCUGUAAUACUUUAGUCUAAGCCAGAUCGCGGGGCUCAAUAGAGGUAAUUGGGUGUGGUUUAGCUCAGACUAGAUGAUCACGUGGCCUCUUCUGGCAUUAAACUCUAUGACUCUAUUAAGAGUUUACUUUGGAGAACCACACCCCUUAAUGACCUCUGCUAUUCGUUGUUCUAGCUACAGGACCUCUUCGUUGUGUACAGAGUUGUUCUGAUGCUACUUUCAAACAGAGAAGGCCUUUAAUCUUUGUCAGGAUGGAGAUACUGCAAACAGCAAGCUAAACAAAUAGUGAGAUUUAAUUAUAAUAUCAAAUAGACUGAGAUAGAGUCCAGUUUCCUGGAGAAUUAAGGGAGAAUUAAGAAUGUAGGCGUCAUUCAAAGAAAUUGAAAUCCAUUCAGUUCACUGCCUGUAUAGUCAAGAGAGAGGAUAUUAAAAAGGUAGUAGUCUAAACUUAACUGGGUUGAGUUACAUAAAACUGGUUUAGAGGCUGGGCUAUAUGUGAGGGGGAACAAAAUUGUGAGAAAGGAUGCUUGGAGCCUUCUCUUCACUUGUGUCUCUGUGGCGUUGAUAGACGCAAUCUGGUCCUUGCAUUCCGUGGACUGCAUGGACGACACAAGCUGUACUAGUCUAUGUAACAUGGGCAGGAUAUGGAGGAGAAAUGGCCUGAUUGCCUCUCCUCCACCUCCUCGCUGGCCAGUGAAGCAGAUCCUGUGCAAGGCAGAGUGUAUUCCACGUGUCUGAAGAGUGGCACAGCCUAGAACUCUAGAAGCCAUUGUGCCUGAGCUGAGCACAAUGCAUCCAUCUGGAUGAUCCCAAUAGGGAAGUAUGCCUCUGCACCACCUGUAACACGGGUGUCUGCUUUUUAAGACACAAUAUAACCACCUGUCAUAAUGGCACAGACAGAAGAAGACAGAUUCUCGGAGGGUGCUCUUAGGAAUACCAAAAUGUGAUGAGGAAAUAUGAAAUUGGAAGAGGUCAAAUAGAGGAAAAUAUUUCUGGGUGGAUCAUUUGGGGUGGGUGGGGUGUAGGAAGAGGCCUCCAAAGUGUGCAUGUUUCUCCUAUUUAAUCUUCGAAAAUGGGCUGCCAGUAUUUCCCUUUUAAAAUUGCAAAUAUUCUAAUUCAGAGAGAGAGUUAUGGGUUUUCAAAAAAUUGAGUAAAAGACUGUCCUUAGCCAUAUUAAUAAUGAGUUGCAAGACUGUUUGACUUUGUUUUGGGAAAAAGUGAGGAAAAUCAAAACAGACUCAAUAGGUGAGAUCCUCAGCUAGUGUAAAUUCACUGAAGCCAAUAAAGCUACUCUAUUUGACAUCAGCUGAGGAUCUGCCCCAAUGUUUUUUCUGCCUAUCUUGCAGAAAGAAGUUUGUGAUAACCUUUCCUAGAGUGAAAAUGACUUCUGAGCACAUGAGGAAUCUCAGCCAACUGGGGAACCAGAAGUAAUAACAUGACUUAAACCAUGUGAUGAAUUCCAAGAAAUCAGGGAUAGAGCUCUAAUGCACAGCAAAAAUUUGCACUAAAAUUCUUGAAGCACAGAAACCCUUAAAUGUUAAUAGAAGCUCCACAGAUUGUAAAAGGCACAAAUUUGUGAAAUAUCCAUUGUAAAACUGAAAAUAGUCCACAGUUCUAAUAUUCAUUCUUUAUUGUUGAUCCAUAUGCAUUUCCUGUUCAUUAAUCAAAACUGACAAUUAUUUGUGCGGUUUUUAAAAAAUUCUUUAAAGCAGAAUAAAUGGUGGUGCAUAAAAAGCAUAAAUGAUGUCAUUUUUAGCUGGCCACUAGAUGGCAAUCAUACCUUACUGUUAAAACAAGGUCUAAUAUGUAAAUGUAAUACUGUUGGAAAUUUUCACAUGGUUCUAGCGAAAGCUUUGGUGCUUUUGAUCACUAAUAAUAACUCUGCACUGAUAUUUAUAUUUAGUGACCUUGAGGAAACUAAAUGCAAAAAUAACAAAAUACCUUCAAAUCCUCUCAUUUAGUUGAUAUAGCUUACUUUACCAUUAGCCAAAAUAAAUGUUUACAUGGCAAUUUAUGCAUUUGUAAAGUAAUUGAUGGGGCAAAUGGGCACUUUUCUUCUAUUCUGACAUUAGCAUGUUGAUAAUAAAAGAAAAGGGGUGGGGCUGAAAGACAAAAAGCCCUCCCCCCCACCUUUAAAUGUAUUUGUGUGCUGAAUAACACUGCUUUACCAAAGUGUAUGUAAUACUUGGCUCUGUUUUCACAAUCAGCAGAGCCGGUCAAGAGCCCAAACUGUACUUACCAGCUGUCUUUUAGCUGAGCAUAAUCAUCCCUAAUAUCCAGACAUAAUCCUACAAUGUACAUUUUAUAAGUAACUACAAUUACAAAACAAAAAAGCAUCUCUUUAAAUACAUAUAUAGGUUCUGGUUGGUUUAUGUUAGUUUUACAACUAAAACAGCCCUAUUUUUUUUUUUUUGCAAGAGAUCAGUAUUAUUGUACAAACAAUAACUGGCAUAGAUGCUGUAUUGUUUAAAAUUCUUUAUUAAACGUAAAUAAAUUGUCCAUAAUUAGAUCAUGUAACUAGUAGCAGUUAACAUUCAUAUUUUUAUCAAGUUAUUGCAUUUUUUUUAUCACUAGCAAUGCAGAAAUGGAUACAGAGAAUGUCUGAGAAAAUACACUGGUUGAGGGAGCAAGAGAGAGCAUAUCAAAAUACAGCUGGAAACAGUGGGCCAAAUUCUCUGUUGGAAUAAAGUGAUGCAACUCCAUUUACCUCAAAAAAGCUUUGCCAGUAGAAAAUUUAGCCCAAUAAUUUGAUAUGGGAUCAUAGCUGACAUAUCUUUCUUUCACAAGAGCUGCAUAAGAUGAAAGGAAAUGUAUAUUUUUAUGUAAUUUAGUGUUAUGUUUUACCAAGAAUAAGUGAGAGGGUCUCUGUUUCAACCAUGCUCCAUGAAGAUUAAUCUGUUUGUUGUCUGAUGCAGUUCUACUUUUGCUUCUUGGUGAGCUGUUCAGAGCAUACAUGCAAAAGUGAUUCAUCUCUGCACUUCUUAGCUGAGAUAACAACAUUGCAAACCCUACUGUUAAGGUUAACCUGUGCACUGCAUAAGGACAGCAGAUGGAAAUUCUGGUUUGCAGCCACUGCAAAAAAAUAAAAACAUGUUCCAAAGGGAAAAGGAUCUUGUAUUUCUGUGUUUGAACCUUUGAUCUUCAUUCACAUCUGAAGGGAAGAGUAGACCUUUUGCUGAAGACACAUGGCUUUGCAUCUGUGAAAACACAGCUGUAUAUAACAAAACAAAACUGGUGAAAAAUACAAUGGUUUUGCUGUGUCAGUUUGGUUGCUAAUGUUCAAAUUCUUUACAAAUAUUGUCUUUUGAUGGAUCUUUCAGAAACUCUCUCUGACUUUACGCCAUAGUUUACUGAAGUUUUAUUCUGCAGAGUUUGAAGUUCAUAGGAAUGAUUGAGAUAUCUGCUCUAUAGCCUUUUUUAAAAGUGAGUUUUAUAAAAUAGUUUGGCACUUGGUCAAGAAUAGUAUUUUCCUAACCAUGUCCUGAAUAAUUUAAAUGAAGAGUAUGAAAACCUAUGGCGGAAACUCAAAUUGACAAAGUAGUCCUAAAAAAGCGAGCCUUGACUCAAGAAGAAAUACCUUAAGCAGCAGCAUUAUUAUUGUAGUUGUGAAUGUAUUAUAAUUGUUUACUGUUGUCUUUCCUGAAGUAUCUCAAAGCACUUUCCAUUCAUAGAAGUAUAUUCUUCAGUGUCUUUAUUCAAAUCUCAUUACAUAUAAGCACUGCAGCAGAACGGCUGGUAGGCAUGUUUCUGUUGUCCCCUGUCUUCUCUAGCACAUGCAGUGAAAUGUGACCACAUUAGCCUCACCUUCAAACCAACUCUACUGGAUGCAUAUUCAUUUCAUAAUCCAGUUCAAAAUUGUCCCUCUCUCAUGAGUUUAUCAUGAGUCUCACAAUUUUUUUUCUUAAAACCCGAGUAACUAGAAUCAGGUAAUUACAUGAGAAUCUCAACUUCAAUUUUAAAAAAGAAAGAAACUAGCCCUCAUGGCUGAAGAGAAAAGCUUGAAAACAUGAAUUCCAAAUGCUCAAAGAUCAGAAGACAAAUAAAAAGAACUCCAGCAUUGUUAUUUUUAUAAUCUCACGAUUUUAACCCAAUUUCAUAAUUUGGGGGGGGCCCAACUCAUGACGUUUGAUCUUUUGAGGUUGGUAAUAUUGCUUCAUGUUCUUAAAACUCUUCCUGGGGCUACAACAACCUAAUUCGGGAAUCAUAGGCCAGAUUCUUGAAGGUAUUUAGGUGCCUAUAGGUGCAGAUAGGCACUUCAUGAGGCUGUCAAAAGCACCUAAGUAGGUUAGGAUUGUUUUCAAUGGGACUUAAGUGAGGAACCUGCUUAGACUCUGAAAAUCUCACUAGGUGCCUAUCUGCAUCUUUAGACAUCUAAAAACCUUCGAAAAUCUGGCCUCCUGUCUCGAGUCUCCUCCAUACUUUCUCAGUUCAUCUAACAUUUGUCUCUUUUUUGUCUCUCCAUACAGUCUGGCUAUUAUUGGUGCAGGAACCUUUUCCUUUGCAGCUCUUACUGUCAGGAACAUCCUUCUAGUGUCCCUCUGCCAAACUGACUCAUCUGUUUUCAAAUCUUACCUGAACAGCUAUGUCCCCUUGCCCAUAUCUGUUAUUUUCUCUCUCCUGAUGUUACUUAAUUCUUUAAUUGUAUUGUAAGGCAUUUUGGAAUACAGGUUGUCUAAAAUACACAAUAUAAAAUAAGCAUGCUUGUGACCAUGAGUUGCAUUAUCGUCAUCUAUCUCUAGGAUGAAUAUAAGGGAUGAGGAAUUCAUUCUUUUAUUGGUUCCUCUCUGUGCCUUGUGUUUUGUACUGGAAGGGUAUACUGUUUAUUGUCUCCACAAACAAUGAAAUUAUCCCCGAUAAUGUCACGGCAAACCUGGUGGCUGAACUUUGUGACUUUGUCCUCACCCAUAACUAUUUCACAUUUGGCGACAAUGUAUACCUUCAA